AGAGUUUGAUCCUGGCUCAGGACGAACGCUGGCGGCGUGCUUAAUACAUGCAAGUCGAGCGAGGUUAUCUUUUCAACGUCCUUCGGGACGGCGAAUUUUUAACCUAGCGGCGGACGGGUGAGUAACGCGUGGGUAAUCUGCCCUAAAGCCCGGGAUAACAGUGGGAAACUGCUGCUAAUACCGGAUAGCUUUAUCUGGAGGCAUCUUCGGAUAAGGAAACGUAAGGCUUUAGGAUGAGCCCGCGUCCCAUUAGCUAGUUGGUGAGGUAACGGCCCACCAAGGCGACGAUGGGUAGCCGGCCUGAGAGGUCGACCGGCCACAUUGGAACUGAGAGACGGUCCAGACUCCUACGGGAGGCAGCAGUGGGGAAUAUUGGGCAAUGGGCGGAAGCCUGACCCAGCGACGCCGCGUGAGGGAAGACAGCCUUCGGGUUGUAAACCUCUGUUGCAGGGGAAGAAGGAAGUGACGGUACCCUGCGAGGAAGCACCGGCUAACUCCGUGCCAGCAGCCGCGGUAAUACGGAGGGUGCAAGCGUUAAUCGGAAUUACUGGGCGUAAAGCGCACGUAGGCUGUUGUGUAAGUCAGGGGUGAAA
rnacentral:rRNA from 1 species